rnacentral:ncRNA from 1 species
ACCUACACAUGCAAGUCUCCACACCCCCGGUGAAAACGCCCCCCAAUUCUACUGAGUUUGGGGGAGCAGGUAUCAGGCACAACACAACGCCCAAGACACCUAGCCACGCCACACCCACAAGGGCAUUCAGCAGUGACCAAUAUUGAAUAUAAGCGACAGCUUGAUUCAGUCAAAGUAUAGCAGAGCCGGCAAAUCCGGUGCCAGCCGCCGCGGCUACACCAGUGGCUCGAAUUGACCUCCAUCGACGUAAAGCGUGAUUAAAGACAUCAUUUAACUAGGGCUAAACUCAAAUUAAACUGUAAAACACUUAUCUGAGAUAUACCCAUAAAACGAAAGUCGCCCUACCCACCCCAACUUGAACACACGAAAGCAGGAACACAAACUAGGAUUAGAUACCCUACUAUGCCUCGCUGUAAACUUUAACUUACACCUCAAUCGUCAGGGAACUACGAGCAAAGCUUAAAACCCAAAGGACUUGACGGUACCCCAUAUCCCCCUAGAGGAGCCUGUCCCAUAAUCGAUAACCCCCGUUUAACCUCACCACACCUAGCCCAUCAGCCUGUAUACUUCCGUCGUCAGCCUACCGCAUGAGCGAAACUUAGUUAGCCAAAUGUCCCCACAUCACCAUGCUCGCUCCGUCAACACGUCAGGUCAAAGUGCAGCAAAUGCUGUGGGAGAAGAUUGGCUACACUUUUUAAUAUAAAAGAAACGAAAGACAAAAUGAAACUUGGUCAGAAGGCGGAUUUAGCAGUAAAAAGAAAACAUUAUAUUCUCUUUAACUCCGGCACUGGGGUGUGUACACACCGCCCGUCACCCUCUUCAAAAAUUUUACUACAGUAAUUAACCCCUACAUCUCAAAGAGAAGAGGCAAGUCGUAACAUGGUAAGCGUACCGGAAGGUGUGCUUGGAAA